GACGAACGCUGGCGGCGUGCUUAACACAUGCAAGUCGAACGGAAAGGCCCUGCUUUUGUGGGGUGCUCGAGUGGCGAACGGGUGAGUAACACGUGAGUAACCUGCCCUUGACUUUGGGAUAACUUCAGGAAACUGGGGCUAAUACCGGAUAGGAGCUCCUGCUGCAUGGUGGGGGUUGGAAAGUUUCGGCGGUUGGGGAUGGACUCGCGGCUUAUCAGCUUGUUGGUGGGGUAGUGGCUUACCAAGGCUUUGACGGGUAGCCGGCCUGAGAGGGUGACCGGCCACAUUGGGACUGAGAUACGGCCCAGACUCCUACGGGAGGCAGCAGUGGGGAAUAUUGCACAAUGGGCGGAAGCCUGAUGCAGCAACGCCGCGUGCGGGAUAACGGCCUUCGGGUUGUAAACCACUUUCGCCUGUGACGAAGCGUGAGUGACGGUAAUGGGUAAAGAAGCACCGGCUAACUACGUG
rnacentral:rRNA from 1 species